UAAUGAAUCUGCCCCUUAGUCUGUUUCUAUUAUUUGAUUAGUAUCCAAAAAUGUAAAUACAGUCACUGUGAUUCAGUCUAAUCUUAAAACCAGGAAAUGCCACUGGGAAAUAAAGUUUAGGUACUGUAUUUUGUUACAGAAAUUAUAUAUAUGUGCUCUCCGCACUAGUGUUCCUGCCUCGGAUGCAUCCCCUGCAGAUGGGUAAGCCGGCGAGGGGGGCGGCAUUUUGAGGAGCCGCCUCAGGCAGCUUCUUUACCGAAAUCGCCAUUGGGAACAUCCAGUAGAUUUUUUGGUGUGGAGGGGCUGUGUGUUCAAGGUAUACCCUUGAGCUUAACAGGGAAAUUUAAGCUAUUCUAUGUUUGGUCAUAGUGAGGUAGUUAAAUACUGUAGAUGACCAAUUCACCCUUUGCUGUGACUAUUUUGUUAGCAGGAGUCCAGUAUGCAGGGGCUUCAAAAACAUAUUUUUCUUAUUAAAACCAUAGGCAAGAAUCAGCACAAUGACAAUUAAUGAACUCAUUUUGAACCAGUAGUAUGUUGACAAUUUAACCAAGAUAAAGUAUAUUGAAAUUGGUAAUUAAUUAGGGCCUUACUGGGCCCUCUACACUGCUGUGACCCCUGUACCUGCAGGGUCUGCUUCCUCCCCCCCAAGGAAAUGCCCCUAUGGCCAAUCACACAAAUAGUGAUAAGAAGAAUUUUUCGCCAAGCAUGGAUGUGCGGCUAAAUUCAGAGUUUCACCUUCAGCUAAUUUUGUCAUGAAAUAGUGGCAAAAAAAUGUCCAUUGACUUCAAUGCACCUUCCCUGAAAAAAUGUAGUGAAAAACACAUAGUAACUUUCAUGUAUUUUGCACAAAUACACACCAAGAAAAAAUGACCAUUGACUUCAAUAUAAUUUUGUGAAAAAAUGCAGUGAAAAAUCAGUGUGUUCUGUGAGAAAACACCUACUUACUUUGCAUUAUGUCUGCAAAGAAAAGAAGCAAAACAACUAUUAUUCACUGCAAUUUAUGUAUUUUUCACAGUUUUUCAGUUAAGCAAAAUGUGACAGAUUCCCUCAUCAGUAGUGUUAGACUAGAGUUGGGGGAACGAGGCCUGCAUAGGGCCGAUGUGAGGUUAGGCAGGGUCCCUCCUCCCCCAUAGUUGUGGACGUUCAGUUUCGGUCCCUCUCAGCCACCCCCCUGCAGGGGGUAGAACAAUGGCCAGGGACUUUCGGCUGGAAAAAAGGGGGCGGGCUGUAGGUCUGAGCCAGGGGGCUGGUAAACCAGGAUGGGUUUCUUAAGGAGAGGCAAAGCAGCAGCAAGGCAGAUAACUUUGUUUUUUCACCAUUAAAAAAAAAAAAAAAAAAACACAGGGGAACAGGGGGACACAGGUUUCCCCAACCACCAAGCCAGAGGUCCCAGCCCCAUUUGUACAGGGGUGACGAUUACGAUCACUGGGAGGAGGAGGAGGAUUCUAGCUUUGCUGUUGAUAAAUAUGAUUAUGAGGAUGAUGUGGAAUUUUUUCCUGCAAGCAGGCAGUGGCAUAACCAAAGGAGACCUGUGAGGGAUCUGCAUUGGGAAGACACAGGUCAUAGUACUAAUCGUGUGCUGAGUUUCUAUUUUAGGAAUAGAGAAGAAUAAAGAGUUGGCUGCAAUGGAGAAGGAAGAGAGAACGGAGGCAAGAAAGGUCAGCAGAACCUUCAAGAUGGCAAAGAAGAAAAGAGAGGCCAUCAUCCAGUGCAGCUGGGCAGUCAGAACAAAAUGGUGAUACGGUUCCUGGUCCAAGCGCUAAAGUAUCUACACGGGAGGCUACUAUGGGUAAGAAAGAAAAAAGAAAGAAGAAGAGAAGAAAGAAGAGGAUAGAAAAGAAUCUUCUGCCGGGCAUCGGGGGUUACCAUCCUACGACUUUAGAAGAAAUAGAAGUCUCAAUAUCAAUAACCAUAUCAGGGGGAGGCUAAUCUCAGCAGUUAACAGCUAUUACUCGUAAGAACUCUUACCAGUCCUGCGUCUUACAGAGGCGAAGUCCAGCAGGGGGGGGGCAUGCGAAUUAGUCCUCUAUACGUACCAUUUUGGAGAUUCGCAAGAGAGAUACAAUCUUAAAAUUCGCAUUUGGAUUUCUUUCAUACAACCUAAUGUCCACCUGUAGCCAUCAUACUGGGCACAGAUUGUCUCAGGAGACGCCACAUGUUUUGUUCCCCAAAUAUAUUUAUGAGGAUGAUAAGAGUAAGGCCGCAUAAUCAUCCGAGGUUUUAAAAGUUAUCCAAUAAAACCAUUUUUUUUGAAA